AGAACCUCAAGCUCUGUACCUUAAAUAGCUCUCGCGGCCAAAAUAGACGUAUCUAUCAAAUUUAAGAGCAAAAGAAGUAUAUCAACAUCUAUAUUUGGGCUUACCUAAUUAAAGAAAGUGAAUAAGAUAAAAGUACAUGGAGAAGAAAGCAUGCUAACCUAAAGUACAUGAGUCGGAGAUGAGGCAUGUUGGUCUUUGUGGGUAACCAUCGUUGGUUUGAAGAAAAGCAAUGACCUGAAGAGUUUUUGGCCAUACAAGACACUCAGGAAUGUCCGCUACGAGCACCUGUUGACGCCUGUAUUAAUAUAACAGACGGAAACAUUCAACCAAUGUCUAUUGAAGUGAACAAUUUUCAUUUACCAUGAUUGUAAACUUGUAAAGUGACACAGGGGUGUAAAUUUAAAGAAACAAAAUUCCGGGUUAGAGUAGACAAGGAAGACCGGGUACCUGUAAAUAUUGGUAGAUGGACAGGUUAGAUUGGUUCACAGUCUGUUUUAUUGCAUUUUAUAUGAGAACCUCUUUAUUUGAGAAAAGCGGUAAAUAGUUUAAUAUUCUUUAGAACUGUUAGCAUUCUAAGUUGAAAGCCUAGCGUAAAUACUGAAUAAAAGUGAAAAGUCAUUCAGUAAAAAUGGGCAUUAAAGCUAUACCUGAAACGGAAUAUAGUAUAAAUGGCUUAUGAAUGAAGGCAAUGAGGAUAUUUAGAUUCUGGAUAAAGUAGUCAAUCUAAGAUAUUGAUAAUGAUAAUUUUGCUUCAUCUAUCGGCUGUAGUUAGAUACGACCAGAUCAUCAAUUUUUAUAAUAUUUUUCAUGUUUCUAUAAGCAAUAACUAUAUCUUAUACAUGUAGUGUAGUAUAUGAACAAAACCAGCUUGUAUAAUCAUGUAUAUCCAGUUUGAUUAGUGAAUUUUUAUUCGCCAAAAAGAUAUUUGUUACAUGUAAAAAAGGUUAAAACAGUAAAAAAUAUUGAUAUG
rnacentral:sRNA from 1 species